UACAGAGGUGGCAAGCGUUGUUCGGAAUUACUGGGCGUAAAGGGCGCGUAGGCGGCUUGGUCAGUCCCGUGUGAAAUCCCUCGGCUCAACUGAGGAACUGCACGGGAAACUGCCUGGCUUGAGUUCGGGAGAGGGAAGCGGAAUUCCGGGUGUAGCGGUGAAAUGCGUAGAUAUCCGGAGGAACACCGGUGGCGAAGGCGGCUUCCUGGACCGACACUGACGCUGAGGCGCGAAAACUAGGGGAGCAAACGGG
rnacentral:rRNA from 1 species